rnacentral:rRNA from 1 species
UACGAAGGGGCUAGCGUUGUUCGGAAUUACUGGGCGUAAAGCGCACGUAGGCGGAUAUUUAAGUCAGGGGUGAAAUCCUGGAGCUCAACUCCAGAACUGCCUUUGAUACUGGCGAUCUUGAGUCCGGGAGAGGUGAGUGGAACUGCGAGUGUAGAGGUGAAAUUCGUAGAUAUUCGCAAGAACACCAGUGGCGAAGGCGGACUCACUGGCCCGGUAUGACGCUGAGGUGCGGAAACGUGGG